GAUGAACGCUGACAGAAUGCUUAACACAUGCAAGUCUACUUGAUCCUUCGGGUGAAGGUGGCGGACGGGUGAGUAACGCGUAAAGAACUUGCCUUACAGACUGGGACAACAUUUGGAAACGAAUGCUAAUACCGGAUAUUAUGAUUGGGUCGCAUGAUCUGGUUAUGAAAGCUAUAUGCGCUGUGAGAGAGCUUUGCGUCCCAUUAGUUAGUUGGUGGGGUAACGGCCCACCAAGGCGAUGAUCAGUAGCCGGUCUGAGAGGAUGAACGGCCACAUUGGGACUGAGACACGGCCCAG
rnacentral:rRNA from 1 species